CAAGACAGUUGUAGGUCAAGAAAGGCAGAUUUAUUCGAGAAAGCAGGAAGAUAGGUUGCAAGAAAGCAACGGGCGCAUCAGCAAGAGAGGAGCUGACUGGCAGGAGACAGAGCCUUGCUGGGGGUUUUAAAGGUGGUGCUUGCGCUGGAGGGGGCCACGAGCGGUGCUGGUAACGCCAAGGUUGCAGGGAGCUAAGUUGCUUUUUUCUCUCAGCCGAGGGUCUGGUAAUAAGUUGGGUGGAGGAGGAUUGUGAGUUAGGCGAGUUAUUUGUGCAGACGCGCUGUGUCCUGAACCAUGAGGAAAGGCAGACAUAGCCAAUCUGCGAAUUCUUUUUGCUUCCCUGGCUCCCCCCAGCCUGACUUCUCUUCCCUAAUUAGGACUCCACACCUGUCUUUUUUAUUUUCAUCGUGUGACAAACACCCAUGGACCUGCCACCUGACACAAGAGCCAGCUCGGUCCUCUCACGUCUCGCAGCUCACACACCUGUGUAACUCACACCCCAGUCAAGAUGCAGAGACUUCUGUCCCUCGGAACAGCCUGCACGCUCCCGGCUCCAGUCCCCGUGGCAGCCACUGCCCUGACUUGGAGCCCCAGGGCUUCCAUUGCCAGCUCUUGAAUUUCAUGUGUACGUGAAACCGCGCGCUGUGCCCUCGUGUUUCUCUUUCCACUCAGCCGGAUGGUCGUGCGUUACAGCUUGUGUAUUGGUGACUGUGUAUUGGUGGCUCCUUACUGUUUCCUUAUCCUUCUGUGACUGCACCGAGAUCGUUUCGAUGCUGUAGUUUCCAGUUCGGGUUACUAGAAUAAAGACGCCAUUAACAUUC